rnacentral:lncRNA from 1 species
ACUGAAUAUAUGACAGUGCUAUGAAGAAUGGCACUUUAUAUUUGAACUUCUAAAAUGAAUCGAAUUAUAAAUCGACUGUUUAGUGAUUCUGACAGUUCUGCCAUUUUAUCAAACUUUGAGUAGAUUUAGAAUACAUUUUCUGAUGAAUCAUUUGAUUUUUUGUAAUAGUUAUAUUUGUUAUGAUUGACCUUUGAAACAAAAAAUUAUUCUAUAUAAACAAAAUAUAAUAAAAUAUCAUAUUCCCCUGAUGAUUGUACACACUGUGUAGGAAACGCAGCAUAAAAUUUCAGUUAAAAUAAUUUAUAUAUUCCGCUAUUUAAUAACAUUUCACUUAAAAAUUACUGAAAAUUUAUUUCAUAUCUGCAUAAUUGCGCCUUUAUUAUCAAAUAAAAUAUAUUGAUUGAUUGCAUUUCCAGAUUAUAUCCGUAUCCUUAAUAAAUAUGACAAUUUUCAAUAUUUCUGGUAUUAAAGGCCGUAUAACAUAGCAAUUGCCAUCUUGAAAGAUGCGGUUCGAUUCCAGGGUCUCACACCUUUAGAGUUUCAAAAGGAAUCCGGCCAGACUCAUUGAAUCUCAUCUUCCAUCUGACGGUUGAUCCUAUCAGGAGGUGAACGGCCGAUGAUGGGCACUGGAAUGUCCUAUCGCUUAGCACUUGCUGGUGAAAAGCAAUGUUUAACUUCACAUAAAAAAUCGGUAUCAAACUUAGUCGCCGGGAUGAUCGUGGAUGUAUGGUAGUUCCAUGUCUUACACCUUUAUUUUUCAGGAGAGGUCUGGAUUUAGCCCUUUGAUUCCGUCCUUAACUUGAUACCCAACCUUCCCUGAGUAAAGCCCUGUCUUUUUACAGGGCUGGUCUGAAGCCAAUCUUUGCCAGGCUACAGAAAAACAGUUGCAGUUCAGUAUCCAAGAGAAUGGAAAAAACACGUGAGACAGAGAUGUAAAAUAUCAUUUUAUAUCAAAUGACUAUAUUUUAUUUCCUUUUCCUUAAUUGUCAUAUUGAUAAAUCUCCCUCUUGUCAAUCGUGCAUUACAUUAUUUUUGCCCAUUAUAUUAAUAAUAUAUGUAACAAACAGCAUCAAAAAUUAAUAUGUAUAAAAUUUUAUUAUUUCCAUUAAAUUUUCAAAGAACAUUUUUUUUGUUCCAGAUAAAUGAUCAAAAUUGUAUGUCUAAAAUAAUUUUUUAUUUGUCUACUUUAAAUCUUGUAAACAUUAUAAGUAGCAUAAAUAUAAUCAAUAAAUUGGAUUGGCUGCAUGGAAAUAUUUUAGCUUUCCAUCCGGAGUAUCCUAGAUAGAAUCCGGAUUUCAUAUUUAAAAUUUUAAAAGGUUUGGGACACUCAAUAAUUCCUGUGUUCCAUUAGGCUGACCCUUCCACGGAUAGACAACCUGUGAUGUAGUUUGUAAUAUUUCCACCAUUCACUAAUUGCAGAACGAUGUGAAAGUCUACAUUAAAAAUGAAGGCUUGUCAUUUUUUGAAACUACUUUCACAUAUUAAUUUUUGAAAGUUGAAGGAUGAUGUUCAUCGGUCAAAUCCUAUAAGAUUUAUCUGUUGAACCCAUCCUUCAACCUUCCGGUUGACCCCAUCAUGGAUGCUGGUUAGCUUGUAGGUGCUCUAAAAAUGGC